ACUAAGCAUAUCAAUAAGCGGAGGAAAAGAAACCAACAGGGAUUGCCUCAGUAACGGCGAGUGAAGCGGCAACAGCUCAAAUUUGAAAUCUGACCCCUCCGGGGCCCGAGUUGUAAUUUGUAGAGGACGCUUCGGGUGCGGCGCCGGUCUAAGUUCCUUGGAACAGGACGUCAUAGAGGGUGAGAAUCCCGUAUGCGACCGGCGGCCAACCCCAUGUGAAGCCCCUUCGACGAGUCGAGUUGUUUGGGAAUGCAGCUCAAAAUGGGUGGUAAAUUUCAUCUAAAGCUAAAUACCGGCCAGAGACCGAUAGCGCACAAGUAGAGUGAUCGAAAGAUGAAAAGCACUUUGGAAAGAGAGUCAAACAGUACGUGAAAUUGUUGAAAGGGAAGCGCUUGCAACCAGACCUGCCCGCGGGCGAUCAACCGUUAUUCUUAGCGGUGCACUCGUCCGCGAUCAGGCCAGCAUCGGUUCGGGCGGCCGGACAAAGGCUUCGGGAAUGUAGCUCCCCCCGGGGAGUCUUAUAGCCCGGGGUGCAAUGCGGCCAGCCCGGACCGAGGACCGCGCUUCGGCUAGGAUGCUGGCGUAAUGGUUGUAAGCGACCCGUCUUGAAACACGGACC
rnacentral:rRNA from 1 species